rnacentral:lncRNA from 1 species
AGCCUCGGAAGCAGUCUCUCCCUCUGAUCUCCUGCCCUUCUGUCUCCUGCCCAUCUUUCGUCCCAGAAGUGAGUCACAGAAACCAGAAUUCUUCCCCAAGCGCAGCUUAACUUGGACUCACCACCUAUCAAGUGCUCGACAGCCACGUGUGCAGUGGUUCCUACGUGGAGCAGCAUACAUCCAGAGAUGCAAAUAUUAAUGAGGACAGUGCUAGUAACAGAGUUGCUGAGCAAUCUAUGUCCCCUUGUAAGAACCAGUGCCCCAGGGGAAGAAACAGAACUCCACAAGGUAGCAGUGUGGGUGUAGUACCCGCAUGUGCCCAUGUUAUGGGAAUGUAGAUGGGGAGUGACCACCGCCAACAGAAGUGUGGCCAUCUUGCCCGAGAUGCCUGAGGACCUCCUAUUUUUAGAUGCUGCUGCCCAAGGCCUGUAUUUCAUGCUAUGGCUUUUGUCAUUUGAAUUAUCAGUAGCUGUCUCGGAGCUAUUACGCUUCACUGGGCCCUGGAGGAUAUUGUCUUAUACAGUCCACUGGGUUUUGGAUAUGCAGUCUGUGCCUUUCAUUGCCUUCCUGGAAAAUAAUAACUAAACUCUUCCUCA